CCUCUGGUUGCCCUAAUUUUUUUUUUCUUUUUCUGUCACCAAAACGGCAUCGUUUUGAUGAUCUCAAAACAACAUCAUUUCACAUGCCUGUAUUUUUCCUUCCUUCAUGUCAAAUCGGCAUCGUUUUUGGGGUUUCCCAAAAUGACAUCGUUUUGGCUCUUCCUGAUUCUAAAAAGCAGGUGAGCUGGGCUUGUUUCUCUCGG
rnacentral:lncRNA from 1 species